UACGUAGGGGGCAAGCGUUGUCCGGAUUUAUUGGGCGUAAAGGGCACGCAGGCGGUCUUGCGCGUUUCGAGUGACAGGUGGUGGCUUAACUGCCACAGGCCUCGGAAAACGGCAAGACUUGAGGACUUCAGAGGGACGCGGAAUUCCAGGUGGAGCGGUGAAAUGCGUAGAGAUCUGGAAGAACACCAAAGGCGAAGGCAGCGUUCUGGGCCAACACUGACGCUCAUGCACGAAAGCGUGGGGAGCAAACAGG
rnacentral:rRNA from 1 species